ACAUGCUAACGAUAUUCAAAAAGUACAUACCUCAAAGAAAACGAUGACGCGAGUUAUCGUCUCUAACGUUCGAGGACUACAAAAAACACUCGGAUUGUAGGCAACAGUUUACUUCCUGGGAUUAGUGACGUAGAUAAGACCAACAUUAUCAUAGUUCAGCCCUCUCUGCUUUGCUUGGGUACGCCCUCAAAGACGGGGGUGGGGAGCGCCGAGUCAGAAGAGAGCUAAAAUGGCGGAGGUUGUGAGUCCCUGCAAUGACUCUGUAUGCAAACUCUUGUUUCAUUGUUUAAGCGAUUAAAUCUCUUGAGUAGACGCUGUCUCUUUAGAUGCGAGGGCAAAAUAGCACUUUAUGGACUUCCACAGAGGACAUCAUGUUUAAUACGGUUCCGGAAAAAUCCAGUCAGAAGUUGUUCACGGAGUUUUCACAAUAACUGCUUCUCAUGAACCGAAGCUGGAUUUGCGCGACGUCUCCUCUUGAAAGUUGGAUUACUGUGCACUUCUGGAUCACAGGCUAUUCGCAGCUGGACACAUCCUUCUACACUGUAUGCAAACAUGCAACAUCAUAACACACAGUACAAGGAGUCAGACUGGCAUAUGAGGAGCAAAGGAACCCAGGCAGUAGCAUCGUUUCACAAUGUUUCCAUCACCAUCAUCAGUGGAUGCCUUUGCUGUCCGUAGCCUGAGAUUUCAGAUUUGCAGCAAAAAAAAUUUGAUUUUCUCAUUUAUUGGAAUGCUGUGCAGGUAUUUGUACCUUGCAGCCAUCCAUUACAAUGUCACCAAGCCGUAACAAAAGCAGGAGAGGGAAAGUACAAGGCUAUGUUCCCAAAACACACAAGUGACAUACCUUAUGUGGAUGAUGUGAUCAGGCUUGUGUUUGAUGAGGUAUUUGAAGAUAAGCUGAAGGAAGCCCUGAUUCCAAUGGACCUGGCAUCACAGUUUGAGAGACCUUCAAAGGAGGACGUGAUUGCAUGCCAUCUUCAGUGCAG